UCCUCCGUUCCUCCUCCCCACGCACGGACCUGGUCACCUGGCGGCUGCUUCAGUUGCCCGCAUCUGGAUCUCGUGGUGCCUCUGCCCUCUCGGCUCUCACAGAGCGCGCGGCGCGAGGCCGGGCGGCGCCGGUGCGGCUCUGCACGCACGGCCAGGCGGCGCAACGCCUCCAUCCCCUUCCUCCCAAGCGCAUCCCCCUGCCUCCGCAUCCGCGCCUCCCUGGCGCUGCCCCUGCCUUCCUAUGGCUGAGCACCCACGUCGGCUCCCCUAGGCCGGGCGCCGCUGCCGCCAAUUCGCGGCUCUCCAUGGAGCGGCGUCGCCGUCGACGGCUCGUGGUUCCCCUAGGGCGGGGCACUCCUCCCUGAGCUCAGGCCGCCUCAUCCUCCUCCCCAACCUCGGCGCCGGCGCUGCUCCUCCUCAACCCUCGGGCCGGCGCUGCUCCUCCCCAACCUCGGCGUCGGUGCUGCUCCUCCCCGACGUCGGGCCAGCGCACCUCCUCCCCAACCUCGGCGCCGACGCGCUCUUCUCUGAGCUCCUCCCCGACCUUGAGCAGGUAUAUAAGUUCAUGUAUUGACAAAAGAAUAGCGAGUCACUGAAAUUGGUUGCAGAUUGGUAGAAUAAUAGCAUGUUACUGAAACUAGUGUUCGUGGAUUGACAAAACCUUUGAGGUCUGAACCUUUGAUAGAAGCUAGUGUAGGUUAUCGAUGGUGGUAAGGUUAUCUGAACCUUUGAGCAAACAAUAUUUGCUCAUCAUUGUGCAUUGUUCAGCUAGAACACAUUUUAGUCCACCAGAAUUUCAAACCGCUCUGGAUUCUUUUCCUUAAAUGAUUUCCUGAUGCGUUGGGUGCCAUAUGCCUUGACUUCAGUUGAUCCAUGUUCGCCAAAUUUUAUUACUAGCACUUGCACAACAGGAGAAGGAAGCAAAGAUGUUGCAAGCCUAGUUCAUUGCUGCAUAUAUAGAUGUUCAUGCCUGUUAUAUUCCCUUGCCAAUGGUCUUUUUCUUUGUUUUAAUUUGUCUCAGCAUCUGUCCAUUCCCAUGAUGUUGCUUAUAUUAUUCAUGAGCUUUAUUUAUCCAUGCCUAUGAUGCUCGUGAUGUUACUCCUGAGCAUUUGUCCAUGCCUCGUAUUGGUUGUGUUACUAUGAGCAUCUGUCUGUGCCCAUGAUGCUGUUUCUGAUAACUAUAUAUGAUCUUUUCCAUGCCUAUAAUUUUUCUUAUGUUACUCCUGAGCAUUGCUUGUUUUCAUAUCUGAGGUGUUAGACAAUAUGCUGUGAAGGCAUUUUACUUGCUAUUAGCUAGUCAAAUAUAAGGCUUGGGUAGGAGGCUACCUGGGUCUGCGCUAAGGUAUCUCAGGUACAUGCUAGAACUUCAUGUAAUUGUGCUUUGUUGAAAUUUAUUAUUUCAGGAUUCAGAGAAUUUUUUUCCCCUGCAGGACAAAUUGAACUAUAGUGUUGUCUAUAGUUGUUUCUGGCUUACAGAGUUACGGGUAUUGUUUCUCCUAUAGGAAGAACUGAGGUUUCAGAUUGUUUGGUGCUGCCGAUUAGAGCUUGGAGCUGUUGCUGCCUUCUCUUGUGUGCAAAUACAACACAUUGCAAAGCAUCAGGUGGCUGCCGGCCACUAGCUAGCAUUCUCAUCUCCAUGCCUCCCUCUCCAUGCACCAGAUCAAGCAUGUGGCAACAAGUUAACUUGAUGGAAAGUUAGUUUGUUGUGAGUUCUAAGUUUUUUUCUAGACUCUGAUGGCUUCUAUGCUUUGAGCUAUGUUUGAAUAGGAAGGACAGAGUAUUAGUGGUGUUAAGUGAUUUUGGAUUGUACUCAACGAUGAUCAAUGUUUGUACGGCUAACAUGAUAACUUAUAUCAUUUUGAUUGAUUGGAUUUAGUGGUGAAUGAAUGUGCUUUGUUGGCCCA